rnacentral:rRNA from 1 species
AUUGAACGCUGGCGGCAGGCUUAACACAUGCAAGUCGAGCGGGGUGAUGGUGCUUGCACUAUCACUUAGCGGCGGACGGGUGAGUAAUGCUUAGGAAUCUGCCUAUUAGUGGGGGACAACAUCUCGAAAGGGAUGCUAAUACCGCAUACGUCCUACGGGAGAAAGCAGGGGAUCACUUGUGACCUUGCGCUAAUAGAUGAGCCUAAGUCGGAUUAGCUAGUUGGUGGGGUAAAGGCCUACCAAGGCGACGAUCUGUAGCGGGUCUGAGAGGAUGAUCCGCCACACUGGGACUGAGACACGGCCCAGACUCCUACGGGAGGCAGCAGUGGGGAAUAUUGGACAAUGGGGGGAACCCUGAUCCAGCCAUGCCGCGUGUGUGAAGAAGGCCUUAUGGUUGUAAAGCACUUUAAGCGAGGAGGAGGCUCUUUUGGUUAAUACCCAAGAUGAGUGGACGUUACUCGCAGAAUAAGCACCGGCUAACUCUGUGCAGCCGCGGUAACAC